rnacentral:tRNA from 1 species
CAGGAUAUAGUUUAUAAAAAUUUAUGUUUUGGAAAUGUAAGAUAAGGUUUCUUUUUUCCUGA